UUUUAGAUCCCUGGCAACAGAUCAGUUGCCUGCUGGUAGACCAGGCAGCAACACUGCCUGGCUGCAAGGCUUCAUGGAACACCCUGGAGCUUUGAAAGGAUCUUUCCUGAUAAGCUGGACAUCCAUCAACUACAGAAAUUAUUGCUACAACACUCUUACCUUAUUGUGGACCACAGUGCAGUAGUGAUCUUUGCCUUUUGAACCAAUUCUUCUAUCCAAAAAAUUGGCGGAGAAAAGAUUGCUUCACCAUACAAAGAAACAUCUCAAGAUUCUCUCUAGAAGCCCAAAUCUUCCACAGAAAAAUCUAUUUACUUUGGAUGUCCUAAAUGUUUAGACCAUAAAUCUAGAAUGAAAGUAAAUUACUUGGAUAAUGUACAGUAA